GCCGCCGCCGUCCUCGGGGGUGCCCUCCGACUCCAUCCGCUGCGGGACCUGCGGAGACAGAGGCGGGUUAGGGGACCAGAACACCGCUCCUCUCUUCACCCGAAAAGCUUUGAGCAGGGUCGACUUAUCCAUCAGGCACAAUGGGUUCGUGGUCUUGCUGACUUCAAGAAUGAAGCUGCAGACCUUCGCUGUGAGUGUUACAGCUCUCAAAGGUGGCAUGGACUCAAACAGUGAGCAAUAGCAAGAAUUACUGUGAAGAGCAAAAGAACAAAGCUUCCACAGCAUACAACGGUACCUGACCCCACUCCCCACCCCACCAUGUGAGAACACAGGGAGAAGGCAGCUCUCUGCAAGCCAGGAAGAGAACCCUCUCCAGGAAACCAAAUCGCUCAACACCUUGAUCUUGGACUUCCCAGGCUCCAGAACUAUGAGAAAUAAAUUCCUGUUGCUUAAGCACCCAGUCUAUGGUUUUUUAUUACAGCAGCUCAAGCUAAUAUACAACAGGAAAAUAAAUAGCAUAUGAAAAUUGUUUAACAUCACAUAUAAUUAA